CAGGAUUAGAUACCCUGGUAGUCCACGCCGUAAACGAUGUCGACUUGGAGGUUGUGCCCUUGAGGCGUGGCUUCCGGAGCUAACGCGUUAAGUCGACCGCCUGGGGAGUACGGCCGCAAGGUUAAAACUCAAAUGAAUUGACGGGGGCCCGCACAAGCGGUGGAGCAUGUGGUUUAAUUCGAUGCAACGCGAAGAACCUUACCUGGUCUUGACAUCCACGGAAGUUUUCAGAGAUGAGAAUGUGCCUUCGGGAACCGUGAGACAGGUGCUGCAUGGCUGUCGUCAGCUCGUGUUGUGAAAUGUUGGGUUAAGUCCCGCAACGAGCGCAACC
rnacentral:rRNA from 1 species